AAAAUAGAACCAAAAAUUCAUGGCUUAAUUGUAGUGAGUUUU
rnacentral:guide_RNA from 1 species